rnacentral:rRNA from 1 species
UCUUGUCAUUGUGUGCCCGCCGCCGCGGUAAUCCGGCCGGUCCGUGCGUUAUCCGGAUUUAUUGGGUUUAAAGGGAGCGUAGGCCGGAGAUUAAGCGUGUUGUGAAAUGUAGACGCUCAACGUCUGCACUGCAGCGCGAACUGGUUUCCUUGAGUACGCACAAAGUGGGCGGAAUUCGUGGUGUAGCGGUGAAAUGCUUAGAUAUCACGAAGAACUCCGAUUGCGAAGGCAGCUCACUGGAGCGCAACUGACGCUGAAGCUCGAAAGUGCGGGUAUCGAACAGG